rnacentral:tRNA from 1 species
GCGGGCGUGGUGAAACUGGCAGACACGUCAGAUUUAGGAUCUGAUGCCUUCGGUGUGCAGGUUCGAGUCCUGUCGCCCGCACGA